rnacentral:rRNA from 1 species
UACGUAGGUGGCAAGCGUUAUCCGGAUUUACUGGGUGUAAAGGGCGUGUAGGCGGCUUUGCAAGUCAGAUGUGAAAUUCCCGAGCUCAACUUGGGCGCUGCAUCUGAAACUGCAGAACUUGAGUGCUGGAGAGGAAAGCGGAAUUCCUAGUGUAGCGGUAAAAUGCGCAGAUAUUAGGAGGAACACCGGUGGCGAAGGCGGCUUUCUGGACAGUAACUGACGCUGAGGCGCGAAAGCGUGGGGAGCAAAC